CAGCAGCCGCGGUAAUACAGAGGUCCCAAGCGUUGUUCGGAAUCACUGGGCGUAAAGGGUGCGUAGGCGGCGCGGAAAGUCAGGGGUGAAAUCCCGGAGCUCAUCUCCGGAACUGCCUUUGAUACUCCCGCGCUUGAGAACUGGAGGGGAGACCGGAAUUCACGGUGGAGCAGUGAAAUGCGUGGAUAUCGUGAGGAACACUAGUGGCGAAGGCGGGUCUCUGGACAGUAUCUGACGCUGAGGCACGAAGGCCAGGGGAGCGAACGGGAUUAGAUACCCCUGUAGUCCCUGUCUCUUAUAC
rnacentral:rRNA from 1 species